CUGGACUCUGCAGACAAAUACAGCGCAGACACAGUCACCAACAGACUGAAGGACCCGAAAUGCUCUCCUGAUCAUUUCAGCCACUCAAGGAAUGUAGUACAGUCACAGCCUCCUGAGCGAGUCUCUGAAUAAGCCUGCUGUUCAUAUGAUACAAUAGUCUAAGAAAGAGACUGGACUAGCUUCAAUCCACAGCCUUCUACCGCAUUCCCAUAAGAUGGUUUCCACAUCUGUAUUUGAAGAAGGAAGCAGGAGAGAAUGCUAAAUGAUUCAUUUCUAUGAGUAUCUGCCACUUCCACUCAGGAAUGGACAAUGUCACCUGCUUGCUCUUUACGGCAGUAGCAAGAGUAACUCAGGAUGGCUUCAAGCUGUUUAUGUAGCUGGAGAAGACCUUGAACUUCUGUUCUUCCUGACUCCAUCUCCUGAGAUCUGGGAUCACAGACAUUUCUACUAUAAGCUCAUCUGGAGCUAAGAAGAAGAAGAAGAAGAAGAAGAAGAAAAAAAAAAAAAAAAACAGAAGAAAACCUCAUCCAUCUCUCCUACAAUGAGAUUCAUCCUAUCAAAAAACCAUCUGGCUGAUAGGGACAGAUGCAGCAGCUGUGGCAAUUUGAAGACUGCUUAACUCUUCAACCAGUCCCUUCCUUGGGUGUUUCAUCUUAAUUUUGAAACAAACAAGUGGCUUUCUAUGGCGUAUUAAAGCAUAGAUA